CGUGGAUGGAUAAUAACGCGUGGCUGGAGGAACAAUUGAAAAAUGGAUAAGAUAAUACAACAAAAGGAUAAUCAAAUUAUGAAGCUGCAGGCCCAAUUAUUGGAACAACACAAAAUAUUAGAUAACAGCAAAGCUAAGGAUGCUCAAAUUUGAGUCUACAAGCUCAGCUAGGGGAAAAGAACAAAUUGGAACGGAACAGUUUCCAAACAGUGAAGGAGGUUUUUCCAAACUCAUUCCUAACUGAACAUGAGGAUGAAUUAGCAUUAGGCGAACACAGUCAGUUAUUCAGUCCACCACCUGACAGUGUGUUAAAGUUAAAUUCUCUUAGUGCUGCACUAAAAGAAUUGUUAGUAAUAAGUCCAUGCAGAGACGGAAGUGAACAAUUGUGGGACCGUAUUUGGGCUGAAAAAUGGGUGUGGUAAGGAAACCCAGAAAUAGCACGAGUUCAACAUAAAACAUG